rnacentral:tRNA from 1 species
GCCGAAGUGGUGGAAUUGGUAGACACGUCGGUCUCAAACACCGAUGGCGCGAGCCGUGCCGGUUCGAUUCCGGCCUUCGGUACCA